UCUUUGCCCUCUCUGGCUCUCUCUCUCUCUUCGCUGCAUCUAUGUUUUAGGUGACGGAACUCUUUGGGUUCACUUAUCGGCGAUCCUCUGCUUCUUCGUCGUUCUCUACCCCUCCCGUUUUCGGCCUUUAUUUUUGGUUCUUAGAUCCCAUGUUCGCCGAAUUCGGUAAUGGGAUUGCUGUGUUUCUCUGUUUUAGGUGCUCUUAAGUUCUCUUCCUGGUUGAAGAAGAUGCCAUUGCUUGGUCCGACCGGUGCUGGAUUCUUUCUAUCUUCCCAUAGGUCAGGAUUCUGUGUGCUUGGACAUCUAUUAGCAAUUUAGCACAAAGGCCAAGACAAAGAGCAUCUCUUUAUUUAAACCAACUGCAAAUAGGUGACGUAUCAGUCUUGGACUAAUUUCAGGAAUGAGGGUAGGUAAAAAGCAAGUCGGUGUUCAUUGUUUACUUUUCAUUUUGGUCCUUCUUUUGAUUGGUUAGUACUCUUUCUCUGCUUCUGUUUUCACACUCAAAUAUCUUUCCUGUAGGGAGGUUCUUGAGGAUCAGCAGUUUGCACGUGAACUCUGUGAAGAGGCUUUGUCUAAUUUCAUGAUUUCAUCUAUUCAUUCUUAAACUCAAAAUAAAGUUAGCUUUACCUAUUUUCAUGGUCACAACUCACAAAUAUGUAUAUUUUGUUUGAAAAUGCAAGAAACCAAUGGGAAAGUUAAGAAAAUGGAAAAUCUGAAAAGAAAAAUUACGAUAUUUUGAAAAAAAACCCACUAAAAUGAAAAUAUCAUGCUUUUCAUGUUUUUGAGAAAACUUUUUAAGUGUUACUUUUUUGGAGGUUUCAGUCUAUUUUGAAUUUUUAUUAAUGUUUUAUAGGAAAAUAGUACAAACUCACAUUUUUCAAAUUUUUAUUGUUACAUUUUUUAUUUUUUGAAUUCUCAAGAUUUUUCUAAGAGAAAAUGCACUUAAUGCCCGAGAAAAAAAAGGCACUUUUAAGUUUUAAGAACCUGAAAACGAUGUCUGGCAAUGCUUAAUUGAUUACCUACAUAGUUCAAUGGAUCCAAUUGCUAACUUGGUUACAUUAUUCUGUAUGAAACCAUGCUUUUUGGUAGUUAAGCAUCAUCAAUCCUAACCUUGGCUUCAUAUGGAACCAAUCAAUUUGGUUCAUCCUUCUUCAGAAGGAAGGUCAGUGUUAAUCUAUGUUGUCAAAAGCAAUAAGCAUGACCAACGUGUUGACUGGAGCCUACAUCUGGCAGAACUGGUGCAUCAAGCUGGUGAGGAAAAAAAUAAAUAAAAUGCGAAGUUAAAUAUUGUAAUUAGCAGCAACACUAAAACAUUUCUUAAUGAAAUUGUAUAAUGAAAAUGAAUGAUAAUACUGACAUGUUUAGUAUUCCAUAACUUGAUAACAAAUAUAACUAAAAGUUCAAAACAUCAAUUUUAAUGAAGUUGAAGGAUUCAAGCAGAAAGGUUAUAUAACAUAAAAAGAACAGUUUAAAUUUAACGUAAGCACUUUUCAAGGUUAUGGAACAAACAAAAGUUCCCUAUCCUGAAUGCCAGCUGAUGAAUCACUAGUUCUAAUUUCUAAGACAUUAGAACCUUAACUAAACCCUAAAGUUACUGAUCUAAUUAAAGAGUAGGAAAGUAGCCUCAAUAUAAUCACGGCUUCCAUGUUAAUCUUGUCAUGCAACUGUCGUUCAUUAUAUUCCUAAUAAACAAGAAAAAGUUUUCAGAAGAUUAAUACACGUGUUCACAUGCAACAUCACAAAGAAUGGGGAAAAGAAAAUCUGCAUAAAAGCACAAGAAGAAAACAGAAAAAGGAGGAUGAUAAAAAAAAUUGUCUUAGAAGGCAGAAAGAAGACAAAAUGAUAAAAAAAUUGUUUUAGAAGGCAGAAAGAAGAAAAAAUAAGAGAAAGAAGAGAAAAGAAAGAAAAAGUGUAAGAACAUAAAUAAAUCUAGGCUGUUGAAGAGGAAAACACAUAGGCUUUUCAGCACCAAGGUGGCUUAAGCGAUGGCCUGGGUAUUUAAGUAUGACAAGUCACUUAGGAACAGCUAGCCCAGGCAAUUAGUCAAGCCUUUUCUAUCAUAUGUCCUACACGGAACUUAUGUUGUAAGUCAAACCUAAUUACUUUUAUAACAAUUUUUCUUUGUGAAGAAUUGAGUAACAUCUUAUAUAGAAGUUUGAACAUUGCUCAUAAGAAAAAGUAUCAAAAGAAAGAAUGCUCUUCAAGAACAUCAAAUCUUCAGGAAGAAAAGACUGCAGAUUCAAAUUGAAGGUGAAUAACUCAAUCGAACAUUGUCUUAAAAGGUAAGGGUGUCAAUAUUACCCAUGGAAAGGAGGUUAUCAAAACUCAAUCUGAAGCAAAUAUCACGUGAUAACUGUUAGCAUUUGUUCAGCAUAUUGAUAGUAAGAGUAGGAAAGUGCAAAAAGGCUCAAACAUUGCAACACCUAUAUAUGGACAUGUUUUGAAAGGCUAACUUCUAGGAUUGAAAGGCUAACUUAACUUCUAGGAUUAGAUCAACAUCUUGUGGCUGGUGAGAUGAAGGAUGAAACAGAUAUUAGUAAAUUGUCAGUUUAUUUUUCCCCGUCUCAGAAUCUAUUUUUUGUUUAAUUUGUCUGAUUCUAUAUAGACUUCAAGCUGGAGGGCUCAAAUCAGGUCUGUGAAAAAUUGGCAUGUCAUGGAUUCAUGAUCAUAACUGGUGAUAGUUAACAAUUAUAUUCACAUCUUAUCCCGUAAAUAAAAAUGAGCAUGCAUACAAGCUGAUGAUAAAGAAACUAAAUGAAGGAAUAUAUUUUGCGUCAGUAGUUCUGAAUGUUCACUUUAGUUCUUUUUUUUGGUUGCUUCAUUUAUUUCCAUCCUGUGCAGUAUAUGGUACUACUUUUCGCUGGUUAUUUCAAUCUAGGGAAAGGUUUUUCUUCUUGUCCUGUUUAUCUAUUUGUAUUCUUCCUUGGACUAUACAUGUUUCAGCUAGCGUUCAACAGUUUUCUAUACCAUAGCCUUCCGUAAGAUGCCAAGCAUUCACAUAUGUAUUCUUCCAGAAACUGCCAAAUGUGCUGUCUUUUGUCCUUUCUACAUGAGUAGCAUGCAUACAAACUGGCUUUUGUCACUUUUGUUGAUCAAAUUUGUCAUUUGCGUAUGGCACUCCUGCAUGUUAUUCAUGAAUGCCACACAUGACACAUCAUUUGAGUGAUUCAAGCCUGCAAUCAUGUUUUAUGCAUUAUGUGGAGGAUGGGGCUGGUAAAUAGAGUUGAAAGUGCGAAGCUUGAUGUAUUUAAGCUCCGAAUUAUUUGUGCAGUUGAGCUCAACCUUAUAUAGUUAUUAAACUACAUGAAUGGAGCUUAAGGUGGCUUUUUCAGAGAAAAAUAGAACUGCCUCCGUCGCAAUUGUGGUUGAGUGGAGUGGAACUAAGGACAUCUGAUUCUUACAAACUUCGAAGUAGUUGCGCAAUUUUGUGCAAAGUUCGUUGAUGGAACUCAAGCAAGCUAGGUUUGGCAUGGCUUGUGUUCAACCUGUUGGAUGGUAACCACCUUCGUUUCUCAGCCUUGCAUUUGAUGGCGUUCAUUUUAGAGAACCAAUCCGUCUGAUUUGUUCUUUUCCAACUUCACCUACUCAAAGGGAAGUCCCGUUAGAAGUGGUUUAGGUUUCGGGUACAUGUAGACCUUGUGCGUGAGUCAAAUUGACUGACAAGCUGAGGAUUCAUGAAAAUGCACUUUUUUAAUAAAAUGUAUUAAUCAAGCUUA